rnacentral:rRNA from 1 species
CACGGACCAAGGAGUCCAACAUGUGCGCGAGUCUAAGGGUGGUCUAAACCCGGAGGCGAAAUGAAAGUGAGCCCCUGGUGGGCAGGCCGAUCCCCUGUCCUGGGCCCCUGGCCCGGUCGGGCGUGGCGUGAGGGAAUUUCCGCCCCGCCGGCCGGGUUGGGGUCUUGGGCGGCCCCGCGAGGGGAGAUGGGGCGCAGGCCGAGGACUUGCCGUGGUGCGGCGCGGGCAACGGGUUUGCUCCUCGCGGGCUCUCCUUAUCCCGAUGUCCGCCGGCAAGUACCUGAGAGCGCAGCCGUUGGGACCCGAAAGAUGGUGAACUAUGCCUGGCGAGGACGAAGCCAGAGGAAACUCUGGUGGAGGUCCGAAGCAGUUCUGACGUGCAAAUCGAUUGUCAGAGCUGGGUAUAGGGGCGAAAGACUAAUCGAACCAUCUAGUAGCUGGUUCCCUCCGAAGUUUCCCUCAGGAUAGCUGGUGUUCGGAUUUUUCGAGUUUCAUCCGGUAAAGCGAAUGAUUAGAGGCCUUGGUGGUGCAAUGCCGUCAACCUAUUCUCAAACUUUAAAUGGGUGAGAGGUAGAGCUUGCUUGAGACGUGAAGCUCUAUGUUGUUAGAAUCAGAAUGCCUAGUGGGCCACU